rnacentral:lncRNA from 1 species
CUCCCACUUACAGUAUAGUGUGAUGACUGACCAGUGUCUCAGUGAUAAUAAUAAUAAACCUUCAUUUAUAUUAAUUAUAUAAUUCUUUGACCAAAAAAUAAUACUAAUUCCAUAAUUGAGACGGUGGAUCGUUCCGCCGGACCAACGCCGGGUGGGUAGCUGUCGCGUCGUGACGCAGACUAAUUAGUGAUUACAGAGGAUUAUACUUUUAUUUUUGAAUGUGAAAACAUAUACAAAUGAACAAGUGUCUCAAGGAGACAAUGGACCUGAAAACAGUGACACAACAGAACUUGUGUCAUCACGAUUAAGCCUAAAGACAGGACUUCCACUUCCAAAUCCACCAUUCAUGCUUCGAUUUGAUAUUCGCCUAUUGCUGCUAGCUGGCCUUGCCAUGUAAAAAUUAUCUCCCUCAGCCACAGGUUGUGGAAUGCUCAUCUUCUUCAUUUCCUGCAUUUUAUUGUCAAUCAGCUUAUUGUAUUCUUGCAACAUUGCAACAAGAGGUACCUGGAUAACUCUUAACAGGUGAUGAUUACUCUAUCUAAUUUAGAGUUUCUCUUUGUUAAUUCAAAAAGGCAUCAAGUUGUGUUACCUCAUUGUAUAAGAAGACUUUCUGUCUUUCUACCUCCCAGCUCUUAGCCUUAACCAAUAUAGAUUCCACUAAUCCUGGUCCAAAUAUUAUAGAAGGGUCAGUGACUAGUUUGCUUCCUAACUUAAGAAAAUGCAGGGUCAUUUGUAGCUUUAUUUGUGUUGGACCCUAAGGAACUGCUUAUAUUACCUGAGAUUUUGCUGACUGUUAUGCGUGCCCGUUCUGCUCUCCUUAGGUUUCGAUGAGCAUUUCUACUUACUGAGUACCGAUUCUCGUCCUGUGACAACGUUAGUGUUUCUUGUAUGAGUUAGACUACAGAGAUAACAUUUAGUUACUUUCAUAGAAAAGAGAUUGGAACCUGGUCAUAUUCUUCUAGCCAGCGCUCUUCAUCACUUGCCAACAUCCACCUAUCAACUUUUUCAAUUAUUCCUUUUCUACUUGCUGCUUCUUCCUUUGCUCUUGCUAUCUUUUCAUCCAUGGCGGCUAGAAGGUCAACAUGGUCAACUUCCCCUUUGAAAUAGAGGACAAAACUCUGCAAUGAGUUUGACAUGUAUAACAAAGACACGCAGCAGUUGCAGAAAGUUACAAUUAGUCAAACCAGAGUCUACAAGUUGAUCUAGUCUCUUGACUUCAGCCUCAGCCUUGGGAAAAAUUUGCACAAAGAAAAGGCGGUUACCACCAGCCAUCAUUGGAGCACACACGUCUGAUGGUGCGGACGACAGUAAAUCAAUGACAUGAAAAAACUUUUGACGAUCUUCAUAAGAUGCAUCCAUCAGAUUCCACAGGUUCGAUAAAGCUCUACCAAGAUGGUGAAGCUGCACACAUGAUGUCUUAAAAGUUCAGAUAAGAUAACAACCUCUUUUCUCUUUGAUAAAUGUGCAUCUCUUUACUGAUUUGUGUUUCAACUUAUAUCUGUUAAGUUUUAUGUUCUUAGGAUAGAUAAUGAAUUGAAACAUUUCUAGUUAGCUUCACCUUUUCAAGGCGCUUGUGCUUUUCCUCUUCCAGAGACACAACAGUGCCAUUAAGCUUUUUUAAGAUAUCAUCACUGAUGUUUUUGGAUAUUCCAUAGAGGUCGUUCAAGCUUGGGUGAAUCUUUGUUAUGAUCAUUGAUGCUUCUGUUCCCAAUGUUGCUGAUAGAUCUCGAAUGGCGCAUAUGUAUAUAUCAACCUUCUGUAGUCUCUCAUUCUUGUGUGACAGAACAAUGAAAGACAACAUGAUGGAGAAGCCAAAACUGUCUGAUAAGUAAAACACAUGCAUGUUGACCAAAAAAAAAACAUUGUUCCCAAUUUGGUAUUACAAAAUGUACCUUCUCAUCAUGGAGUCUAUGCAGUUCAUUCUGAUAUUCCUCAAGUUUUUUAUUAGAAAGAUCGUUGUCAUCUAUGGUUAUCUUUCUAGUUGAGUCUUCAUAUGUCGAUCUACCUGCUAUUUCUGCUGAUAUUUUCUGAAUUUCCCCUUUGACAGAUCGGAACUGCUUCACUCUCUCGUCUUUCCUAAGCCUCAUCUCACGCAGUGCAGGCGCAAUAGAAUCCAGCUGCUCCCUCAGUGUUCCUCCCUUUUUCUCCGGCUGUAUAGAGAAUGACAACAAAAUUAUCUAUGAUAGGUACUGAUCUUUCACCGAGGCACAAAAGAAAAUGGGUGAGUUCGGCUUCAGAUUCUGCCAGCUCUUGAUGUAGACGAGACCUCGAAACAUUGGCAUGGUCAACUUUUCUCCGGUUUUGCUUUGAAGACAAGUGUGAAAGUGACACAUAUUCUGCUACAGAAGCUUCUUGUUUAAGUGAAGGCUCAUCCGCAUCUCCCUCCUCCUCUUUGAUUCUUCAGUUUAUGUCUCUUUCUCUUUCUCUCUCUCAACUUCAUCUGAAUUUGGUAAAGCUUAGAAGUCGCUUUUGUGCUGAUGCGUUUGCUUCUGCUGUAUGAAAAGCCAGAGAGAGAUGUUUUUUUUUGUAUAUACUACACAAAACUUGAUUCGUAAGCAAACCUGUAGUGCUAACUUUUUUGCUUAUUACUGUUUUAUCUGAACACAAAAUCGAAAUAGACAGAGAUUCUUCACCAUGUGGGUUCUUACAACAUAGCUUCUUUUUCUUUGUGGCUUAGAUUUUGGUUAUCAAGUUCUUUCUGAAUUUCCCCCCCCCC